rnacentral:rRNA from 1 species
GUCCACGCCGUAAACGAUGGAUACUAGCUGUUUGAGCAAUUGAGUGGCUAAGCGAAAGUGAUAAGUAUCCCACCUGGGGAGUACGUUCGCAAGAAUGAAACUCAAAGGAAUUGACGGGGGCCCGCACAAGCGGUGGAGCAUGUGGUUUAAUUCGAUGAUACGCGAGGAACCUUACCAGGGCUUAAAUGUAGAUUGACCGUUUUGGAAACAGAACUUUCGCAAGACAAUUUACAAGGUGCUGCAUGGUUGUCGU